GAACGGGUGAGUAACACGUGGGAAACCUACCUCUUAGCAGGGGAUAACAUUUGGAAACAGAUGCUAAUACCGUAUAACAAUGACAACCGCAUGGUUGUUAUUUAAAAGAUGGUUCUGCUAUCACUAAGAGAUGGUCCCGCGAUGCAUUAGCUAGUUGGUAAGGUAAUGGCUUACCAAGGCGAUGAUGCAUAGCCGAGUUGAGAGACUGAUCGGCCACAAUGGGACUGAGACACGGCCCAUACUCCUACGGGAGGCAGCAGUAGGGAAUCUUCCACAAUGGGCGAAAGCCUGAUGGAGCAACGCCGCGUGUGUGAUGAAGGGUUUCGGCUCGUAAAACACUGUUGUAAGAGAAGAAUGACAUUGAGAGUAACUGUUCAAUGUGUGACGGUAUCUUACCAGAAAGGAACGGCUAAAUACGUGCCAGCAGCCGCGGUAAUACGUAUGUUCCAAGCGUUAUCCGGAUUUAUUGGGCGUAAAGCGAGCGCAGACGGUUAUUUAAGUCUGAAGUGAAAGCCCUCAGCUCAACUGAGGAAUUGCUUUGGAAACUGGAUGACUUGAGUGCAGUAGAGGAAAGUGGAACUCCAUGUGUAGCGGUGAAAUGCGUAGAUAUAUGGAAGAACACCAGUGGCGAAGGCGGCUUUCUGGACUGUAACUGACGUUGAGGCUCGAAAGUGUGGGUAGCAAACAGGAUUAGAUACCCUGGUAGUCCACACCGUAAACGAUGAGUGCUAGGUGUUUGAGGGUUUCCGCCCUUAAGUGCCGCAG
rnacentral:rRNA from 1 species